UGUACCACUAGGUGUGCCUGUUUUGAACAGACAGACAAUGGUGAAUGGACCUGUCAAACUCAGUUAUAUAACAAUAUGAGAUGGUUUCAACUAUGGCUGGGAAAGAUGGUAAGAUUAUUCCAAUGGUCCUUAAACAAGGUAUAAGUAAGAAUUAUUCUCAUCUGCAGAUAAAAGUCUGGAUGUAGUUUCCUGCCUGGACAGGUUGGGGAAUUGAGCUAGCAAAUAGAAUUAACAAAUAUGCUAGUAUUAUGGAUGGGAUUAUUAUUGAGACUACAAGUAAAAGAGUUACAACAAAGAUCUAGAGAUAUAGCUAAGGAAGGAUGGGAACGAUUGGAACCUGGUUUAAAAAUAUGCUUACAAAUCUUUUAAAACCCAUAGUGGUAGUGAUAGGAGUAAUUCUAAUGUGACUAAUUGUUUGGAAAUUGUUAAUGAUUUGUGUUUCUCUUUGCAGAAAAAGAUGAAGAUACGGAUUGUUUAGGGUGAUGAUACAACAGCUACAGAGAUGACAGACUGAUAACCUAGCUCAGCUACCUGCCUCCCCUGCAGACCCUCCAGUCAUUUUAGGAGACAGGUGGAAGAUCUCAUCUCUGCAAGGGGGUCCCACAAUUGCACCUCAUCAGCUUUGGGCCUAUUACAGGAUUUGGACCUAGGCCUGUGAAGGGAUGCAGUUCUGGCUGCUGUUGUUAUCUGUUUAGAUAGAGAUUGCAUAUUUUGUGUUUGCGUGUUACCAAUAAAGAUGUGUGAAUGCUUAGAGGAAAUGAUAACUAUGUAGGCAGAUCUGGAAUGGAGGCUCAGCAUCCCACUGUCUAUGCAGCUUAUCUGUAUACUCAGUGAUAUACAGUCUGUUUAAGGGGUCAUUUCCAGGUAGGAAGGUUGUUAGUUAGUCAAGUGAGAGACACAAAGUAAUAAUGGCGUGAUAAUAAACGCAAGGUAAUAGAUAAAUACAUGUGAUAAUAAACGCAAGGUAAUAGAUAAAUACAUGUGAUAAUAAAAUUAUCAAAAGGGUGAGAAAUGUUAAGGAAAAAUAUUUUUUAAUUCUGUAUAUAUAUUCUUCUUAUGGACUGACAAGUGAUAUUUUUAAACAGUUACAUUUCUUUUUUGUCAAUUCAGCUAGUACAUAAACUGCUGUAUAUGCAAAGUAAGUAUUUUCAGCUACAGUAACACCCAACGUUUGUAUGAACAAGAUAAGAAGAAGACCACGAGGUGCUGAUUGUGAAGAAACAACACAUGGCCUAUAAAAAGAGAGACAUUGCUGCAAUCUAAUGCUGCAUGCCACACACUCUUGUAUUACUAUGUAAAAUGACCAGUUGUCAUUUUAAUUUGUAAUGUUUAAUUGUACAAUUAUAACCUUAUUAAUUUGGAA